UAACUCUGACCUACAAAAGUCACAUGAUCUAUACUUCCGUUCUGCUAGAGUUCUUUCUCUUUUUUUAGGUCGGAAAAAUAACACCCUUUUUGAAAUGGGUCGCCGACCAGCUCGAUGCUAUCGAUAUUGCAAAAACAAACCAUACCCUAAAUCUCGCUUUUGUAGAGGUGUUCCAGAUCCCAAAAUCAGGAUUUUCGAUCUGGGCAG
rnacentral:sRNA from 1 species